AAUAAGAAUAUAAUGCGAGAAGUCCAAUAAGCAGGGGGCGGAAAUGGAGAACCUGCUGCUCCAGCUGUCCGCGUGGGCCUCAUUGACGAGAAGGCUUGAAAAGAAGGACACGGUAGCCAAGCCAUCUGUAUUUUCCUUGCCUCAGGGAUUUUUCCAGAGCAGAAAACAGAAGCAGCCUGAAGUCACUGGCUCUUCAGUCUUGUAGGGAUGUGGCAUUUCGGCCGCCAUCUGGAGGCCCCGAGAAGAAAGACAGAGAUCCUGACCCAGAAUUAGAACCAUCGUGAGCUGCGGAGCAAAGCCUGCAGUUGCCUCCCGUCUCUGCUCGUGUGCACUCAUGUCCAUCCUCUGCCCCUCUGUACUCUGCUGGCCUCCAGCAGACGGACCCUUAGGGGUGAGACUGCACGACAGCUUCCCGGGCCCUUGGCUUCCUGUUGGUGUCAGCGAAGGGGAGGCCCCAGAAGGAGCAGGGCCCAGAGAGGGGAGGAGAGAGGAGUCAGGUAUCUGUUCUCCGGGUUCCUUCCCUGAGAGGCUGCUGUGGAUUGGCUGCCUCCCUUGACAGAGGCCGCAGUUCCCUUCAGGUGGCCCUCCCUUUCUGAGUUCCAUAACUGCUCCGCCUCGUCCCUUCAGCUCUAGGUGUGUCCCCAUUGUUGCCAGGACCCUAGCACCUCAC
rnacentral:lncRNA from 1 species